rnacentral:rRNA from 1 species
UGGUAGUCCAUGCCGUAAACGUUGGGCACUAGGUGUGGGGGACAUUCCACGUUUUCCGCGCCGUAGCUAACGCAUUAAGUGCCCCGCCUGGGGAGUACGGCCGCAAGGCUAAAACUCAAAGGAAUUGACGGGGGCCCGCACAAGCGGCGGAGCAUGCGGAUUAAUUCGAUGCAACGCGAAGAACCUUACCAAGGCUUGACAUGAACCGGACCGCUGCAGAAAUGUGGUUUCCCCUUUGGGGCUGGUUUACAGGUGGUGCAUGGUUGUCGUCAGCUCGUGUCGUGAGAUGUUGGGUUAAGUCCCGCAACGAGCGCAACCCUCGUUCUAUGUUGCCAGCACGUGAUGGU